UCCGCAUUGGUCCAGUGGCUAGGAUUCCACGCUCUCACCGUGGCGGCAGGGGUUCGAUUCCCCUAUGCGGAG
rfam:Neocallimastix californiae strain G1 LY90scaffold_334, whole genome shotgun sequence.